rnacentral:rRNA from 1 species
AUACGUAGGGGGCAAGCGUUGUCCGGAAUCAUUGGGCGUAAAGCGCGCGUAGGCGGCCCGGUAAGUCCGCUGUAAAAGUCAGGGGCUCAACCCUUGAACGCCGGUGGAUACUGCCGGGCUAGAGUCCGGAAGAGGCGAGUGGAAUUCCUGGUGUAGCGGUGGAAUGCGCAGAUAUCAGGAGGAACACCGAUAGCGAAGGCAGCUCGCUGGGACGGUACUGACGCUGAGGCGCGAAAGCGUGGGGAGCGAACAG